rnacentral:rRNA from 1 species
ACUCCUACGGGAGGCAGCAGUGGGGAAUCUUGGACAAUGGGGAACCCGUAGCAUCCAGCCAUGCCGCGUGAGCGAUGAAGGCCAGCUUAGGGUUGUAAAGCUCUUUCAGGUGGGAAGAUAAUGACGGUACCACCAGAAGAAGCCCGCGUACAUCCGUGCCAGCAGCCGCGGUAAUACGGAGGGGCGUAGCGUUGUUCGGAAUUACUGGGCGUAAAGCGCACGUAGGCGGAUUGGAAAGUUGGGGU